rnacentral:misc_RNA from 1 species
UUUUUAAUGGCUAACUUACUCUAGUUUAUAUUUACUAGAAUCACUCAGUUUUGCUUCUGUAUUAAUAAACUAGAGUAAGUUAGCCAUUAAAAACACAAGAAGAAGCUCAAGAAGAACAAUGCGCCAUCAAAUUUUUAUUUGUGCAAAUUGUGUACUUGGCCUUUAUUUAUUAGCUUCCAUAGAGCAUCCUUAGCUUCCUCUAAUGUUUCAACUGCAUGCCCCUCUUCAAAUGAUAACCGCUGUACAUUGAACUGUGCACCUUGACGGACCCGAAUAUCGAUUCCUUUGCUGUCUAUUGAUAUCAGAGCAGCAUCAUCCACCUCUGUUUCGGUGGACAACAGCUCUUUAAGGGGCUUUGAGAAGAUUGCAUUGAGUUCCUUAAGAUUUUGCUCCCCUCCAUCAACUGCAAUUUUAUCAGGCUGAAGGGCCUCAUAUUCAUUAACAUCAACCCAAGCAACAGUGCCAAAGCCUCCAAUAAAG